GGAGAACGCUGGCGGCGUGGAUUAGGCAUGCAAGUCGAACGGUAUCAUCCUUUCGGGGGUGAGAGAGUGGCGAACUGGUGAGUAACACGUAGGUUAUCUACCCUCAAGACGGGACAACCCAGGGAAACUUGGGCUAAUACCGGAUGUGAGCAACUUUUAGUUGUUUGAAAGGUGGCGUAAGCUGUCGCUUGGGGAUGAGCCUGCGUCCUAUUAGUUAGUUGGUGAGGUAACGGCUCACCUAGGCAAUGAUAGGUAGGCGGCCUUAACGGGUGGUCGCCCACACUGGGAUUGAGAUACGGCCCAGACUCCUACGGGAGGCAGCAGUCGAGAAUAGUCUACAAUGGUCGGAAGACUGAUAGUGCGACGCCGCGUGAACGAUGAAUCCCUUCGGGGUGUAAAGUUCUUUUAUAUGUGAGCAGUGCUUCUUAUAUUAACAGUAUGGGGAGAGAGAUAUUAGCAUAUGAAUAAGCAACGGCUAACUCCGUG
rnacentral:rRNA from 1 species